rnacentral:rRNA from 1 species
GACGAACGCUGGCGGCGUGCUUAACACAUGCAAGUCGAACGGAAAGGCCCUGCUUUUGUGGGGUGCUCGAGUGGCGAACGGGUGAGUAACACGUGAGUAACCUGCCCUUGACUUUGGGAUAACUUCAGGAAACUGGGGCUAAUACCGGAUAGGAGCUCCUGCUGCAUGGUGGGGGUUGGAAAGUUUCGGCGGUUGGGGAUGGACUCGCGGCUUAUCAGCUUGUUGGUGGGGUAGUGGCUUACCAAGGCUUUGACGGGUAGCCGGCCUGAGAGGGUGACCGGCGACAUUGGGACUGAGAUACGGCCCAGACUCCUACGGGAGGCAGCAGUGGGGAAUAUUGCACAAUGGGCGGAAGCCGGAGGCAGCAACGCCGCGUGCGGGAUGACGGCCUUCGGGGUGUAAACCGCUGUCGCCUGUGACGAAGCGUGAGUGACGGUAAUGGGUAAAGAAGCACCGGCUAACUACGUG